rnacentral:lncRNA from 1 species
CUCACAAUGGAUGAUGAAGAGAGUGGAGCUUCACAAGACCCCAAAAAACUAAAUCACACUCCUGUAUCAACCAUGAGUUCUUCUCAGCCUGUGUCACGACCAUUGCAACCCAUACAACCAGCACCGCCUCUUCAACCAUCUGGGGUGCCAACAAGUGGACCAUCUCAGACCACCAUACACUUACUACCUACAGCUCCAACUACCGUGAAUGUAACACAUCGUCCAGUAACUCAGGUGACCACAAGACUCCCUGUACCAAGAGCUCCUGCAAACCACCAGGUGGUUUAUACAACUCUUCCUGCACCACCAGCUCAGGCUCCCUUGCGAGGAACUGUUAUGCAGGCUCCUGCUGUUCGGCAGGUCAAUCCCCAAAAUAGUGUUACAGUUCGAGUGCCUCAAACAACCACAUAUGUUGUAAACAAUGGACUAACCCUGGGAUCAACAGGACCUCAGCUCACAGUGCAUCACCGACCACCACAAGUGCAUACUGAGCCCCCACGCCCCGUGCACCCAGCACCCUUACCAGAAGCUCCACAACCACAGCGUCUGCCCCCAGAAGCUGCCAGCACAUCUCUGCCUCAGAAGCCACACUUGAAGUUAGCACGCGUUCAGAGUCAAAAUGGCAUAGUACUGUCAUGGAGUGUCCUGGAGGUGGAUCGAAGCUGUGCCACUGUUGAUAGCUACCAUCUCUAUGCUUACCAUGAGGAACCCAGUGCCACUGUGCCCUCACAAUGGAAAAAGAUUGGGGAAGUCAAGGCACUUCCCUUGCCCAUGGCAUGUACUCUCACCCAGUUUGUAUCUGGUAGCAAAUACUACUUUGCAGUACGAGCCAAGGAUAUUUAUGGACGUUUUGGGCCUUUCUGUGAUCCUCAGUCAACAGAUGUGAUCUCUUCUACCCAGAGCAGUUAAACCUUGGAGCCUUUAUAUUUUCCUCUUUUAAAAUUUCCACCUUUUGGUCUUGUUUUUAAUCUUGUGCAUGAUACCCCAUGUAAAAUCCACCUUGUGCAAGAUUUCUUGGACAGAUGUGUGUAUACACUACAUUUGUUUAUAACCAGAAGCAAAAUAAACUCAGCCCACAAAGCUAGAAUCUUUUCCUGGACAGUUUAGGCUUUGGGGUUUGGAAAUGU